UAAAGGAGACUGCAAUGGCAGAGACAUGGUUUGCGGUGAGCCGAGAUCGCGCCAUUGUACUGCAGCACGGGCAACAGGAGCGAGACUCUGUCUCAAAAAAAAAAAAUUCUAAUUAAAAGCAUGCAAAUGAGGAAAUCAAUCCACUUGAAACCAUCCCCACUGUGUCCUACCCCCUGCCCCUACCCUGUUCGUGGAAAAAUUGUCUUCCAUGAAACUGGUCCCUGGUGCCAAAAAAGGUUGGGGACCGCUAUGUUAGAUAUGUGGCCUUGGACAAAUUUCCAAACUUCUCUUUGCUUCAGCUUCCCCAAAUAGAAAUAAGACUUAUAAACUUAUUGAGAAUUGUCAUAAAAUUAAAACAGCCUUCAUUUAUUGAAAGUUUAUUGCAUGUUAGACUUUUUAAAAUGCAACACCUCAUUUAAUCUUCAUAACCAUGUUCUACUAUUCCUCUAUUUUCUUUUUUUUUCUUUUCUUUCUUUUUUUCUUUUUUUUUCUUUUUUGAGACAGAAUCUCUCUCUGUCACCCAGGCUGGAGUGAAGUGGCGCGAUCUUGGCUCACCACAACCUCCGCCUCCGGGGUUCAAGUGAUUCUCACGCCUCAACCUCCUGAGUAGCUGAGACUACAGGCAUGCACCACCACACCUGGCUAAUUUUUGUAUUUUUAGUACAGAUGGGGUUUUGCCAUGUUGGCCAGUCUGGUCUUGAACUCCU
rnacentral:lncRNA from 10 species